GUGGGCUUUGAUCCAUACUCCGGUCCGGUGUACCACCACUAUAUCAGACAGAUCCAUCAGGGACAUUUUCAGCUUGGAAAGCUAAUGCCACCGGGAGAAACUCAACUCGAUUAGGGAGUUCCUAGAGAAGAACUAUAAGGAAACCUCCGGACAAGAAACUAUCAAGCUUGCAAUUCGUGCAUUGCUUGAGGUUUAGAAUGCGAAAAUCAAUAGCAAUUCUAUGUGCUGUGAAGUUAUUCUGAUGGGUAGCAGUGUAAAUUAGAACAUCUAAGAGUUCUUCUUCUAUCAAUAUGUUGUGGGUUAUGACAUUUUUAGCAUUUCAUUUUCUUUUCUGCUGGAAUCAUAGUAUGUUCGAUCACUUGGAAGAAAGAGACUCAUCUGAGGUUGAAACAAGGAUAUUGGAGGAAGGUGGAGAGAGGGACUUUCUAGCUAAUGGAUUUAUGAAAGUUCAUUUUGGCAGAUUGGUUUUCAACUUCCCAUAUCUUUAUUUUGAGGGGCAUAGCUGCAUCUGCUAUCACUUAGCGGCUCACUAGGAUAUGGUGUUUGGAAUUCGGAAUCAUUUCUAAAGCGUGUGAUGAUCCAUCAGCUAUACCUGAGUUGUGGAACAGAUAUAUUUAUGGAUCAAUAAACUCAGGGUUAUACAUUUCUCUAGUCCUCUCGAUUCAUUUGUAAACACAAUCAGUGUGCUAGUUUGUUUGUCUCCAUUUGAUGUUGUUAGUACUCCUAAUCGAAGUUGGAAUUUUAUUUUUUGCUUUUGGUAUAUUCUACAUAACGACUUAUGCUAAAUGCUCACAGUCUAGGAGGUGUAGGUGUGCUUUAAUCUCCUCCUUGAUGACCUACUUCAUUUUAUUUAUUAUCAUAUCAUAUAUGUCAGACUGAAGAGAAAAAACAAGCCGCUGCCGAUGUACUAUUUCAAUAUUCAAAAGUUGCAAUGGCAUGCAUAGGAAACCAAGUCCGACCUUGGGAUCUGAGGCUGCAUUUGAUGAAGGAAAUAUCAGGGAGAGAGCUUCAUCCCAAGUUGCUGCUUCUCCUGAUUCAAUGGGCGAGUCAUCAAGCUGAAGUACAACAAGAAUUGAUAAGAAAGCUGAUAAAGCUGAUAAAUGAGGUGAGUUGAGAGCGAUUCUCAUUUCACUUGAAGCAUCAUUAUACUUCUUAUCGUACUAGAUGCUUAAUGCAAUGCAACUUAGGAUGUUCCAAAGAUGUUUGAUCAUAGGAAAUUGUGUAGUUUGUUUGAUACAAGUGGCAUUUCUGUGUACAAUAACAAAUAAAUCAUAAAUUUUCUUUCAAAAGGUCUAUUUUAUUGUUUCUUCUCUUUAUACUUAAUACAAAGCAUUUCUUGCUUGAAAGUUGUCUCCGAUAUGCUAAUAGAAUCAGGACACCAUCAUCUUCAAUCAAUCAUCUUAUGUGCAAAAUGCAAAGAAGUUCAUUUGAUUCAUCUUUCAUGAUUUAUCUACCUUUCUCAGCUAUGAA